rnacentral:rRNA from 1 species
AGUGAACGCUGGCGGUAGGCCUAACACAUGCAAGUCGAACGGCAGCACAGUAAGAGCUUGCUCUUACGGGUGGCGAGUGGCGGACGGGUGAGGAAUACAUCGGAAUCUACUUUUUCGUGGGGGAUAACGUAGGGAAACUUACGCUAAUACCGCAUACGACCUACGGGUGAAAGCAGGGGAUCUUCGGACCUUGCGCGAUUGAAUGAGCCGAUGUCGGAUUAGCUAGUUGGCGGGGUAAAGGCCCACCAAGGCGACGAUCCGUAGCUGGUCUGAGAGGAUGAUCAGCCACACUGGAACUGAGACACGGUCCAGACUCCUACGGGAGGCAGCAGUGGGGAAUAUUAGACAAUGGGCGCGAGCCUGAUCCAGCCAUACCGCGUGGGUGAAGAAGGCCUUCGGGUUGUAAAGCCCUUUUGUUGGGAAAGAAAAGCAGCAGGUUAAUACCCCGCUGUUCUGACGGUAGCCAAAGAAUAAGCACCGGCUAACUUCGUG